CGACGAGUGUGGUUGUGAACGAUUUUGAAUGAAUGGGUUAAAUUUGUUGAAGAUCUAUGAAGAUGAUGACGAAAGAUGCGAUUCUGAAUCUCGGAUCCGACCCUUCCAUGGGAUUAGGGUUUCAGAGAUCUCGGUCGCAAGUUCUUUUUCAAUAUGGAACUUUUUGUGGUGGUUAUGCGGAAUGGUUAGCAGAAUUUUAUGGGAAGUGGCGGUUCGAGUCGGUG